rnacentral:rRNA from 1 species
GGUGAACACGGAGCUUGCUCUGUGGGAUCAGUGGCGAACGGGUGAGUAACACGUGAGCAACCUGCCCCUGACUCUGGGAUAAGCGCUGGAAACGGCGUCUAAUACUGGAUAUGUGACGUGACCGCAUGGUCUGCGUUUGGAAAGAUUUUUCGGUUGGGGAUGGGCUCGCGGCCUAUCAGCUUGUUGGUGAGGUAAUGGCUCACCAAGGCGUCGACGGGUAGCCGGCCUGAGAGGGUGACCGGCCACACUGGGACUGAGACACGGCCCAGACUCCUACGGGAGGCAGCAGUGGGGAAUAUUGCACAAUGGGCGGAAGCCUGAUGCAGCAACGCCGCGUGAGGGAUGACGGCCUUUCGGGUUGUAAACCUCUUUUAGCAGGGAAGAAGCGAAAGUGACGGUACCUGCAGAAAAAGCGCCGGCUAACUACGUGCCAGCAGCCGCGGUAAUACGUAGGGCGCAAGCGUUAUCCGGAAUUAUUGGGCGUAAAGAGCUCGUAGGCGGUUUGUCGCGUCUGCUGUGAAAUCCCGAGGCUCAACCUCGGGCCUGCAGUGGGUACGGGCAGACUAGAGUGCGGUAGGGGAGAUUGGAAUUCCUGGUGUAGCGGUGGAAUGCGCAGAUAUCAGGAGGAACACCGAUGGCGAAGGCAGAUCUCUGGGCCGUAACUGACGCUGAGGAGCGAAAGGGUGGGGAGCAAACAGGCUUAGAUACCCUGGUAGUCCACCCCGUAAACGUUGGGAACUAGUUGUGGGGUCCAUUCCACGGAUUCCGUGACGCAGCUAACGCAUUAAGUUCCCCGCCUGGGGAGUACGGCCGCAAGGCUAAAACUCAAAGGAAUUGACGGGGACCCGCACAAGCGGCGGAGCAUGCGGAUUAAUUCGAUGCAACGCGAAGAACCUUACCAAAGGCUUGACAUAUACGAGAACGGGCCAGAAAUGGUCAACUCUUUGGACACUCGUAAACAGGUGGUGCAUGGUUGUCGUCAGCUCGUGUCGUGAGAUGUUGGGUUAAGUCCCGCAACGAGCGCAACCCUCGUUCUAUGUUGCCAGCACGUAAUGGUGGGAACUCAUGGGAUACUGCCGGGGUCAACUCGGAGGAAGGUGGGGAUGACGUCAAAUCAUCAUGCCCCUUAUGUCUUGGGCUUCACGCAUGCUACAAUGGCCGGUACAAAGGGCUGCAAUACCGUGAGGUGGAGCGAAUCCCAAAAAGCCGGUCCCAGUUCGGAUUGAGGUCUGCAACUCGACCUCAUGAAGUCGGAGUCGCUAGUAAUCGCAGAUCAGC